AAAAAUGACUUUAUGUCAUUUGGUCUCUCCCUAUGAUGUGAGUGCUAAACACAGCAGAGGUAUACGGAAGAGUUAAAACUCUGAAUGAGUCCGAGUCUAUGACAAGGUGCUGUGCUGCGAGCACCCUUGGAGGAUUCACCUAUGUGAGUGUGACUGUAUGGCCGCAGUCUAUAGGGAUAAGGGUUUAACUCCUAGAGCGC
rnacentral:lncRNA from 1 species